GAUGAACGCUGGCGGCGUGCCUAAUACAUGCAAGUCGAGCGAACAGACGAGGAGCUUGCUCCUCUGACGUUAGCGGCGGACGGGUGAGUAACACGUGGAUAACCUACCUAUAAGACUGGGAUAACUUCGGGAAACCGGAGCUAAUACCGGAUAAUAUAUUGAACCGCAUGGUUCAAUAGUUAAAGACGGUUUUGCUGUCACUUAUAGAUGGAUCCGCGCCGCAUUAGCUAGUUGGUAAGGUAACGGCUUACCAAGGCGACGAUGCGUAGCCGACCUGAGAGGGUGAUCGGCCACACUGGAACUGAGACACGGUCCAGACUCCUACGGGAGGCAGCAGUAGGGAAUCUUCCGCAAUGGGCGAAAGCCUGACGGAGCAACGCCGCGUGAGUGAUGAAGGUCUUCGGAUCGUAAAACUCUGUUAUUAGGGAAGAAAAAAUGUGUAAGUAACUAUGCACGUCUUGACGGUACCUAAUCAGAAAGCCACGGCUAACUACGUG
rnacentral:rRNA from 1 species